ACUCAAAUGAAUAGACGGGGGCCCGCACAAGCGGUGGAUCAUGUGGUUUAAUUCGAAGCAACGCGAAGAACCUUACCUGGGUUUGACAUGCCUCUGAAUAUUUUUAGAGAUAGAAAUAGGCUCGCAAGAGACAGAGGACACAGGUGCUGCAUGGCUGUCGUCAGCUCGUGUUGUGAAAUGUUGGGUUAAGUCCCGCAACGAGCGCAACCCCUAGCUUUGGUUGCCAUCAUUUAAGGUGGGCACUCCAGAGUGACUGCCGUCGUCAAGACGGAGGAAGGUGGGGAUGACGUCAAGUCCUCAUGGCCUUUAUAUCCAGGGCGACACACGUGAUACAAUGGUUGGUACAAAGGGUAGCCAAGUGGUGACACGGAGCCAAUCCCAAAAAACCAAUCUCAGUUCGGAUUGGAGUCUGCAACUCGACUCCAUGAAGUUGGAAUCGCUAGUAAUCGCGGAUCAGCACGCCGCGGUGAAUACGUUCCCGGGCCUUGUACACACCGCCCGU
rnacentral:rRNA from 1 species